rnacentral:misc_RNA from 1 species
GAUGAAGAACGUAGCGAAAUGCGAUAAGUAAUGUGAAUUGCAGAAUUCAGUGAAUCAUCGAAUCUUUGAACGCACAUUGCGCCCGCCACUAUUCUGGCGGGCAUGCCUGUUCGAGCGUCAUUUCAACCAUCAAGCCCCAGGCUUGUGUUGGAGCCCUGCGGCUGCCGCAGCCUCCCAAAACCAGUGGCGGGCUCGCUAUCACACCGAGUGCAGUAGUUUACUCUUCGCUCAGGGCGUGUGGCGGGUGCUAGCCGUGAAACCCCCAACUUCUCAAGGUUGACCUCGGAUCAGGUAGGAAUACCCGCUGAACUUAAGCAUAUCAAUAAGCGGAGGA